UCCCUGGAGGACUAGUGGUUAGGUCUCGGGGCUCUAACUGCCACGGCCCAGGUUGAAUUCCCAGCCAGGUAA